rnacentral:rRNA from 1 species
GACGAACGCUGGCGGCGUGCUUAACACAUGCAAGUCGAACGGAAAGGCCCUGCUUUUGUGGGGUGCUCGAGUGGCGAACGGGUGAGUAACACGUGAGUAACCUGCCCUUGACUUUGGGAUAACUUCAGGGAACUGGGGCUAAUACCGGAUAGGAGCUCCUGCUGCAUGGUGGGGGUUGGAAAGUUUCGGCGGUUGGGGAUGGACUCGCGGCUUAUCAGCUUGUUGGUGGGGUAGUGGCUUACCAAGGCUUUGACGGGUAGCCGGCCUGAGAGGGUGACCGGCCACAUUGGGCCUGCGAUACGGCCCAGACUCCUACGGGAGGCAGCAGUGGGGAAUAUUGCACAAUGGGCGGAAGCCUGAUGCAGCAACGCCGCGUGCGGGAUGACGGCCUUCGGGUUGUAAACCGCUUUCGCCUGUGACGAAGCGUGAGUGACGGUAAUGGGUAAAGAAGCACCGGCUAACUACGUG